rnacentral:rRNA from 1 species
GCUUCUUUUUCCCCGGAGCUUGCUCCACCGGAAAAAGAAGAGUGGCGAACGGGUGAGUAACACGUGGGUAACCUGCCCAUCAGAAGGGGAUAACACUUGGAAACAGGUGCUAAUACCGUAUAACAAUCGAAACCGCAUGGUUUUGAUUUGAAAGGCGCUUUCGGGUGUCGCUGAUGGAUGGACCCGCGGUGCAUUAGCUAGUUGGUGAGGUAACGGCUCACCAAGGCCACGAUGCAUAGCCGACCUGAGAGGGUGAUCGGCCACAUUGGGACUGAGACACGGCCCAAACUCCUACGGGAGGCAGCAGUAGGGAAUCUUCGGCAAUGGACGAAAGUCUGACCGAGCAACGCCGCGUGAGUGAAGAAGGUUUUCGGAUCGUAAAACUCUGUUGUUAGAGAAGAACAAGGAUGAGAGUAACUGUUCAUCCCUUGACGGUAUCUAACCAGAAAGCCACGGCUAACUACGUGCCAGCAGCCGCGGUAAUACGUAGGUGGCAAGCGUUGUCCGGAUUUAUUGGGCGUAAAGCGAGCGCAGGCGGUUUCUUAAGUCUGAUGUGAAAGCCCCCGGCUCAACCGGGGAGGGUCAUUGGAAACUGGGAGACUUGAGUGCAGAAGAGGAGAGUGGAAUUCCAUGUGUAGCGGUGAAAUGCGUAGAUAUAUGGAGGAACACCAGUGGCGAAGGCGGCUCUCUGGUCUGUAACUGACGCUGAGGCUCGAAAGCGUGGGGAGCAAACAGGAUUAGAUACCCUGGUAGUCCACGCCGUAAACGAUGAGUGCUAAGUGUUGGAGGGUUUCCGCCCUUCAGUGCUGCAGCUAACGCAUUAAGCACUCCGCCUGGGGAGUACGACCGCAAGGUUGAAACUCAAAGGAAUUGACGGGGGCCCGCACAAGCGGUGGAGCAUGUGGUUUAAUUCGAAGCAACGCGAAGAACCUUACCAGGUCUUGACAUCCUUUGACCACUCUAGAGAUAGAGCUUCCCCUUCGGGGGCAAAGUGACAGGUGGUGCAUGGUUGUCGUCAGCUCGUGUCGUGAGAUGUUGGGUUAAGUCCCGCAACGAGCGCAACCCUUAUUGUUAGUUGCCAUCAUUUAGUUGGGCACUCUAGCAAGACUGCCGGUGACAAACCGGAGGAAGGUGGGGAUGACGUCAAAUCAUCAUGCCCCUUAUGACCUGGGCUACACACGUGCUACAAUGGGAAGUACAACGAGUCGCGAAGUCGCGAGGCUAAGCUAAUCUCUUAAAGCUUCUCUCAGUUCGGAUUGUAGGCUGCAACUCGCCUACAUGAAGCCGGAAUCGCUAGUAAUCGCGGAUCAGCACGCCGCGGUGAAUACGUUCCCGGGCCUUGUACACACCGCCCGUCACACCACGAGAGUUUGUAACACCCGAAGUCGGUGAGGUAACCUUUGAGCCACCGCU